rnacentral:tRNA from 1 species
UUCCUUAAAGUUCAUAUGAACAUUGAUCUUGUAAAUCAAAAGAAUAAAAAGGAAA